rnacentral:lncRNA from 1 species
AGCUCCUUACAAUCCGUCCCAAAGCGCUACGUUACAACAGUUUAAGACAGGGCAAUGAAUAUGGAUUACUACAUCAAAUUACAAGUAGUUCAACUGAAAUUAACAUUAAAUUGUCUCCAUAGCGUAUAAAUCAUACAUUUGAAUCUUUGAUGAGUUUGUUUUACGUACGUUACGUAGAACAUUAAACAUUCUUUUUUUUUUUGAAUAAAUGUUAAAUUUAUUCACCAAAAAAACCUUUUUACAUCAAGUGUGGACAAAUUAAAAAACUCAUGCUCCUAAUCAACUUUUAAACCCCCCAUAACAAUAACAAGAUUUUGAUCUACACUCUAUAACCAAACCAAAAUUGGAGACCAUCUACCAUGCUUCUUCUUUUCUGCGUUUGCAACAAGCUAAACUUAUUCCUUACUCCCUUAUCCACAAGCUUCUGUAAUAUAGCAAUGGCCAUAGGCUUUUCCCCAUGAUUAAUCAUGUUUUUCUCCCUCCGCAAUGCAUAAAUGGCUGCUUGAAAGGAGUAUCUGACACAGAAAGUACUUUUCACCUCUCUAGAAUUGUCUGAUAAAAGAGGUAUGAUAGCAUACCAACUGUUUGAAUGAGCAUUACGUAAGAUACCAAGAGUGAGCUGCUUCAAAAGUUGAGAGGAGUGGUCACAUUAGAAGAAUAAGUGAUCUCUAGUCUCGACAGCAUUCUUACAUAAUACACAAGUUGUGUCAACACCCAGACUCCACUUAGAAAUCUUGUCCAUAGUGGCUAGUCUGUUUAACAUCGCCAGCCAGGUGAUGAAAGAAAACAUUAAACAUUCUUGC